rnacentral:rRNA from 1 species
UGGGGAAUAUUGCACAAUGGGCGCAAGCCUGAUGCAGCCAUGCCGCGUGUGUGAAGAAGGCCUUCGGGUUGUAAAGCACUUUCAGCGAGGAGGAAGGUGGUGAGCUUAAUACGCUCAUCAAUUGACGUUACUCGCAGAAGAAGCACCGGCUAACUCCGUGCCAGCAGCCGCGGUAAUACGGAGGGUGCAAGCGUUAAUCGGAAUUACUGGGCGUAAAGCGCACGCAGGCGGUUUGUUAAGUCAGAUGUGAAAUCCCCGGGCUCAACCUGGGAACUGCAUUUGAAACUGGCAAGCUAGAGUCUCGUAGAGGGGGGUAGAAUUCCAGGUGUAGCGGUGAAAUGCGUAGAGAUCUGGAGGAAUACCGGUGGCGAAGGCGGCCCCCUGGACGAAGACUGACGCUCAGGUGCGAAAGCGUGGGGCAGCAAACAGGAUUAGAUACCCUGGUAGUCCAGCGCUGUAAAACGAUGUCGAUUUUGGAGGUUGUGCCCUUGAGGCGUGGCUUCCGGAGCUAACGCGUUAAAGUCGACCGCCUGGGGAGUACGGCCGCAAGGUUAAAACUCAAAUGAAUUGACGGGGUC